rnacentral:rRNA from 1 species
AUUGAACGCUGGCGGCAGGCCUAACACAUGCAAGUCGAACGAGUGGCGGAAGGGAGAGUAAUGUCUGGGAAACUGCCCGAUGGAGGGGGAUAACUACUGGAAACAGUAGCUAAUAACGCAUACCAUCGGAUGUUCAACGAUGGGAUUAGCUAGUAGGUGGGGUAACGGCAAACCUAGGCGACGAUCCCUACCUGGUCUGAGAGGAUGACCAGCCACACUGGAACUGAGACACGGUCCAGACUCCUACGGGAGGCAGCAGUGGGGAAUAUUGCACAAUGGGCGCAAGCCUGAUGCAGCCAUGCCGCGUGUAUGAAGAAGGCCUUCGGGUUGUAAAGUACUUUCAGCGAGGAGGCGUUACUCGCAGAAGAAGCACCGGCUAACUCCGUGCCAGCCGCCGCGGUAAUAC